GCCCGGAUGGUGAAAUUGGUAAACACAGCGGACUUAAAAUCCGCCGGCGCAAGCCUUACGGGUUCAAGUCCCGUUCCGGGCACCA
rnacentral:tRNA from 2 species